rnacentral:lncRNA from 1 species
UGCUGCAAGCUGUGGCAUAGUCUACAGAUGCAGCUCGGAUCUGGUAUUGCUGUGGCUGUGGUGUUGGUGCAGCUACAGCCCUGAUUUGACCCCUUGCUGGGGAACUUCCAUAUGCUGCAGUUGUGGUGGUAAAAAGAAAAAGAAAAGAAAUGAAAAGAGAAAGAAUAGGUAGGAUUUGAAGAAGCAAAGAAUGUGGGUGGCAGUCCUAGGGGGGCGUGGCCCAUCUGGAGAGAACCCGAGAAAUGGUUGAAAAUUGGCCGUGGCAGAAAUCAUCCCAACAUCGUAAAUCAACUGUAUGCAAUAAAACUUAAAAAAAUAAUAAAAAAUAAUUUAUUGGGAAUGGUUUAAAAAAAAAAAAUUGGCCAUGGAUUAUUUUCCACCUGGCUCUGCAGAGAGUUGGCUAGUACUGGCAUAAAUCAGUUCAGCAGCAGAUGCAAAUGUGUACCCCUGAGAAUGUGUGUUCUCAGAUGCACACCCCCCUGGCCCCGGGUGGCCUCAGAGUCGUCUUGUUUUCUUUGGAAGCCUGCAGCAGAGCGGCCACUAACGCUUGCUGCUGUGUCUGCUUCUGCCCUUUGGAGCAGACAACCCAAUGGCUCAGCUUGAUCAAACCUGACAUCCUCCAAUGCUGGGGUCAGAGGAGGUGGCGUGUGUGCCACUGGGUCCUGGCCUGCUAAGCUGGGGUCCCCAGGGCUCUCAGAGCAGGCUUCAAGCCGGGCCUCUUCUCUGCCCUCUGAAGCCCCAUGGUGGGAGCGAGCAGAGUCAGGCUUCAAUGUUGCUGGUGAAACAACUAUGGGUUUGGAUACUUUCAGAACCUGGCUGGGGGUGAUAUGGGCAAGCUGUGGGCAGCCAGAAGAGGGCCAGGGAGGGCGGUGCAGAUCCUGUGCAUGUGUCUGCCCAGGACGCGUGCUGAAGACUGGGGGGUCGAAAGCAGAUCUCUAUCCCUGCUGCUCCUUCCUCUGCACCAUGUCUAUGCUGGGCACAGAUCCUGAUGGGGUGAGUCUGCCUUCUCCCGUGAAUGCCGGGUCUCUUCUCCUAACAGAGCAUCCUUGCAUCCUGAGGUAGGUCCACCAAUUGUGUAUAAGGAAGUCCUGAGCAUAGAGUAUGUGCUGGUUGGCAAGUUCCACAAUCACAACCAGGUCACUUAAUUUGGUGUGACUCAGGCGACCACAUUAAUCAGGCUGGCGGACUUAUUCCUUAUGCCUUGAACUUUGGGCUCCUCGGUCUGCACUCCCUUCUAGGCUCUGGGACAAAGGCCCUUCAGAGCACUUACUUUUGUUGGAGCGUCUCUUUGAAGGCUUGCUUUGUUGGUCCCUGCUUUCCAUUCUGGGCUCCCUGACCAAGCACCCUUGCCCCUGCCCUUGUCACAGCCCCUGCACUCAAAUAGACUCCAAGCUUCCUGCCUCCACUUCCUUCCCCACUCCCAUAUUUAGAGACACUGUCUUGGUCGAGGGCUGUUGCUCUUUCUCCCCUCUCUUCACCAUCUUCUUGAAACAGGCCCCUUUCUUGUCUCCCACUGGCCUUUCGUCCAGUCUUUCUCUGACCUCAUUUUGCUGGCACAGCAAAGCCUUCCUGCCUUCUCUAGACUCUGACACUUUGUCUAGGUUACCUCCUUCCCCAACCACCCUGCCCUCCUCUAAGUUUCUUUAUCAGGAGUCUCCAUCAGAGUGCUCCUCUCAGAGACAGCCAACCCCCUUUCAGAAUGUGAAUUUGUAAUUUGGUGUGGCCUUUCUUAAGCUUUGUUUUAAGCCAUGAGAGGGUGAGCCUGCCAACCCCAAAGUUAAAGCCAUAGAUGAGAUUUUUGGGAAGGACAGCUUUCUGAAACGAUUCCUAUUUCAGCUGGUCUUAACCUCAGAGAGAGUUCCAGAUUAGCUCUGCCUUCUUGGUUACUCUCUUUCUCCUUUUGUCUGCCUUUGCCCUCCAAUUUAUCCCCAAACUUUGGACUAGAACUAGGGUGCAGCGUCUAGGAAUCACGAGGGGUGUGGCCUGCAUUGUUCAGAACUCCGGGCACAUCUGCUGUUCUUCAGCUUCCUGUCUUGUUACCAGUCUUCUUCUUGGAAACUCCUGGCAGGGAGAAGGAUGGCUCCUCAAACACCUAGGACUGGAUUCAUAGACCCAACCUCCAAGGGUACAGUGGUUCUCCACCUCUUCUUUCUAUGCUCCCGUCCAUCCAUCCAUCUUUCUGGGGCCCCACCAAGGUAGGAACCAAUCCCCCCACCUUUUUUCCGAGAAGGCCAUUUGUGUGUUUACAGGCAUUCUGUUAUUACAGUGAUCACUUCCAGGAAAAUUUAAAGACAUAAAAAACCUGCAAGAGUAUUGUUGGGAGCCUAUUUUAUUGCUAUGGCUUUAAAACAAACAAAAAUAGUAAUUCCAUUAGUAGUUGAAAAUCAUAGGAGUUCUGUAUUGUUGGCAAUAAAUUUACAGCUACUGUAACUGUGUGCCACAGAGAUAAUAAACACAACUGAAGAGCCAUUAUUGACAGGCAGGGCAGACAGGAGACAACACGUCACACUUUCUAGGCCACCAGGGAAACGAGGUGGAGGAUUUUUUUAGUGUUUGAAAAACUGUGUAUGCUUCCCUGUCCACAUAGGGUGCUGGGGGGCGGGUGGGAAGAGCACUGAAACCAGACAGAUCUGGGUUAAAAUCCCUGCUGUGGAGAGUGGAGCAGUUCCUGUGGGUCAUCAAUAAAAUGGGGGUAAUUCUACCAGGUCACAAAGAUUAAACGUAACCCUAACAUAAAGGUUCUUGUAAAUUGUUUGGAGUUCCCGUCGUGGUGCAGUGGAGGUGAACCCAGCUAGGAACCAUGAGGUUGUGGGUUCCAUCCCUGGCCUCGCUCAGUGGGUUAAGGAUCCGGCGUGGCCGUGAGCUGUGGUGUAGGUCGCAGAUGCAGCUUAGAUCUGGCAUUGCUGUGGCUCUGGCGUAGGCUGGCGGCAACAGCUCUGAUUAGAUCCCUAGCCUGGGAACCUCCAUAUGCCGCGGGUGGGCCCUAAAAAAAAAAAAAAGACCGGAAAAAAAAUUGUUCAACUAUAAAUUCCAUGAAAGCAGGACCCCUUCCAUCUUUUUCUCCCCUUUACCCCUCGUGCUACAUCCGUGCCUCGCUUGUAAUAGGUUUAUGAAUGGAACUGUCACUGUAAUAUUUUUGUUGUUGCUACAUCACUGGUAGGUAAUCAAAAGCCUUUGAUCUGGUGAAUCCCCUUGCCACUUCUUCAGCCUCAGCCAGCAACCCACCCCUCCCAACCCAGUGCCCUAGAGUGUUCAGCCAAACCAGUAGAGAUCGACAGGGUAACCAGUUAGGAAAUCAAAAGAAUAAAAAAACCUAAAGGGCUUUCCUACCAACCCAUGAGACGGAUGAGCUAUGAGUAUGUAUAUUUUAACCUUUUGGUAAAACAUUUCUGAAGCAAAUUACAAUACUUGAUUUAAUAGUGAGUCCCAGACACAAAGCAUGUCUCAGAGAGGCCAGGGAUUUGUAGCCUGAUUUGUAGGAAAUAGCUUUGGUGUAAACGUUUAUUACAGACAAGUUCUCUUUAAAGGUGGCGUAUGGCACUAUUCCACAGUAACUUGAAACGUGCUGUCUCCAGAGCUCCCCGAUUGCACCUGGUUGGAGCUCCGCAUCUUCCUUGCCUGGGACCCCUGCCUGCCACCAUCUCACCUGGCAGCACCCAGGGUGCUUUGUCAACUUUAUGUCUCAGCUGUCACACUUGCUUCUGUCAAGCAUUCAAAGUUCUCUGUUUGCACUUUGGGGCAUUGUAGAUGAUCUUCUGCCUUUUGGGUUGUUAAUUUUCUUCCUCGAAGAGAGCUAAGCACAUGUAGCCAACCACAGACUUCAGUUUCCCUGCCUGUGAAAUGAGACAUGAAGGGAGUUCCCACUGUGACUCAGUGGAAACGAACCCGACUAUUAUCCAAGAGGAAGUGGGUUCCAUCCCUGGCCUCUAUCAGCAGGUUAAGGAUCUGGUGUUGCCAUGAGCUGUGGUGUAGGUCUCGGAUGCAGCUUGGAUCCCACAUUGCUCUAGCUGUGGUGUAGGCCGGCAGCUGUACCUCUGAUUUGACCCCUAGCCUGGGAACUUCCAUAUGCUGCA